AUGCUGCAGUCAGAACCACUACUCCGAGCCUCAAGAAUGUUCCAAGCGUCGUCUGUUAUGAUUGUGGCCAAGGCACCACAGAAGAAAAAGAUGUGCUGGGGAAUCCUGUCAACUUCUUCCCUGGUGUAUGCAGUCUUGGCAGAAACACAAUUGGCCAAGUGGCUCAGGGGUGGUGGCCUUGUGGACUCAGAGAUACAGAUCUUUAUGAAGACCCUGACAGGCAAGACCACCACCCUCGAGGAUGAGCCCAGUGACAUGACUGAGAAUAUCAAAGCCAAAAUCAAAGACAAGGAGGGCAUCCUGCCUAACCAGCAGCAUCUGACUUUGGGGAGCAAAUAGCUGGAGGAUAACCACACUCUCUCAGACUAUAAUAUCCAGAAAGAAUACACCUUGUACUUGGUGCUUCACCUGCAGGGUGGAAUGCAGAUUUUCGUGAAAACCCUUACGGGGAAGACCAUCACCCUCGAGGUUGAACCCUCGGAUACAAUAGAAAAUGUAAAGGCCAAGAUUCAGGAUAAGGAAGGAAUUCCUCCUGAUCAGCAGAGACUGAUCUUUGCUGGCAAGUAACUGGAAGAUGGACGCACUUUGUCUGACUACAACAUUCAAAAGGAGUCUACUCUUCAUCUUGUGUUGAGACUUCGUGGUGGUGCUAAGAAAAGGAAGAAGAAGUCAUAUACCACUCCCAAGAAGAAUAAGCAUAAGAGAAAGAAGGUUAAACUGGCCGUCCUGAAAUACUAUAAGGUGGAUGAGAAUGGCAAAAUCAGUCGC